rnacentral:rRNA from 1 species
GCCAGACUCCUACGGGAGGCAGCAGUGGGGGAUAUUGCACAAUGGGGGAAACCCUGAUGCAGCGACGCCGCGUGAGUGAAGAAGUAUUUCGGUAUGUAAAGCUCUAUCAGCAGGGAAGAAAAAAGACGGUACCUGACUAGGAAGCCCCGGCUAACUACGUGCCAGCAGCCGCGGUAAUACGUAGGGGGCAAGCGUUAUCCGGAUUUACUGGGUGUAAAGGGAGCGUAGACGGCAAUACAAGUCGGAAGUGAAAUACCCGGGCUCAACCUGGGAACUGCUUUGGAAACUGUAUGGCUGGAGUGCUGGAGAGGUAAGCGGAAUUCCUAGUGUAGCGGUGAAAUGCGUAGAUAUUAGGAGGAACACCAGUGGCGAAGGCGGCUUACUGGACAGUAACUGACGUUGAGGCUCGAAAGCGUGGGGAGCAAACAGGAUUAGAUACCCGGGUAAG